rnacentral:rRNA from 1 species
GAGUAACGCGUGAGGAACCUGCCUCAAAGAGGGGGACAACAGUUGGAAACGACUGCUAAUACCGCAUAAGCCCACGGCUCGGCAUCGAGCAGGGGGAAAAGGAGCAAUCCGCUUUGAGAUGGCCUCGCGUCCGAUUAGCUAGUUGGUGAGGUAACGGCCCACCAAGGCGACGAUCGGUAGCCGGACUGAGAGGUUGAACGGCCACAUUGGGACUGAGACACGGCCCAGACUCCUACGGGAGGCAGCAGUGGGGAAUAUUGCACAAUGGGGGAAACCCUGAUGCAGCGACGCCGCGUGGAGGAAGAAGGUCUUCGGAUUGUAAACUCCUGUUGUUGAGGAAGAUAAUGACGGUACUCAACAAGGAAGUGACGGCUAACUACGUGCCAGCAGCCGCGGUAAAACGUAGGUCACAAGCGUUGUCCGGAAUUACUGGGUGUAAAGGGAGCGCAGGCGGGAGAACAAGUUGGAAGUGAAAUCCAUGGGCUCAACCCAUGAACUGCUUUCAAAACUGUUUUUCUUGAGUAGUGCAGAGGUAGGCGGAAUUCCCGGUGUAGCGGUGGAAUGCGUAGAUAUCGGGAGGAACACC